rnacentral:rRNA from 1 species
UACGAAGGGUGCAAGCGUUAAUCGGAAUUACUGGGCGUAAGGCGUGCGUAGGCGGUUUGUUAAGUCUGUUGUGAAAUCCCCGGGCUCAACCUGGGAAUGGCAAUGGAUACUGGCAGGCUAGAGUGUGUCAGAGGAUGGUGGAAUUCCCGGUGUAGCGGUGAAAUGCGUAGAGAUCGGGAGGAACAUCAGUGGCGAAGGCGGCCAUCUGGGACAACACUGACGCUGAGGCACGAAAGCGUGGGGAGCAAACAGG